rnacentral:rRNA from 1 species
AGGACGAACGCUGGCGGCGUGCUUAACACAUGCAAGUCGAACGGUAACAGGCCCUUCGGGGUGCUGACGAGUGGCGGACGGGUGAGUAAUGCGUAGGAAUCUACCCACGAGUGGGGGAUAGCCCGGAGAAAUCCGGAUUAAUACCGCAUAUGCCCUACGGGGUAAAGCGGGGGAUCGUAAGACCUCGCGCUGGUGGAUGAGCCUACGUCCGAUUAGUUAGUUGGUGGGGUAAAGGCCUACCAAGGCUACGAUCGUAGGCUGGUCUGAGAGGAUGAUCAGCCACACUGGGACUGAGACACGGCCCAGACUCCUACGGGGGCAGC